rnacentral:miRNA from 1 species
ACGAGGUGGACUUGAGACAGAA